rnacentral:rRNA from 1 species
UAAGGAAUAUUGGUCAAUGGAGGCAACUCUGAAUCAGCCAUGCCGCGUGCAGGAAGACAGCCCUAUGGGUCGUAAACUGCUUUUAUGUCGGAAUAAACCUACUUACGUGUAAGUAGCUGAAUGUACGGCAAGAAUAAGGAUCGGCUAACUCCGUGCCAGCAGCCGCGGUAAUACGGAGGAUCCAAGCGUUAUCCGGAUUUAUUGGGUUUAAAGGGAGCGUAGGCGGUCUGUUAAGUCAGGGGUGAAAGACGGUGGCUCAACCAUCGCAGUGCCUUUGAUACUGACGGACUUGAAUAUAGUUGAGGUAGGCGGAAUGUGACAAGUAGCGGUGAAAUGCAUAGAUAUGUCACAGAACACCAAUUGCGAAGGCAGCUUACUAAGCUAUGAUUGACGCUGAGGCUCGAAAGCGUGGGGAUCAAACAGGAUUAGAUACCCUGGUAGUCCACGCCCUAAACGAUGAUAACUCGAUGUUAGCGAUAUACAGUUAGCGUCCAAGCGAAAGCGUUAAGUUAUCCACCUGGGGAGUACGGUCGCAAGAUUG